AGGCUGGAUGUGAGAGCUGGAUGGUACCAAAUCUAACAUCCUGUUAUUGUACAAGAUUUGGUUCCCUCCAGUAUCUCAUCUUCAACUG
rnacentral:pre_miRNA from 1 species